UUAAAUUGAAGAGUUUGAUCAUGGCUCAGAUUGAACGCUGGCGGCAGGCCUAACACAUGCAAGUCGAACGGUAACAGGAAGAAGCUUGCUUCUUUGCUGACGAGUGGCGGGCGGGUGAGGAAUGUCUGGGAAACUGCCUGAUGGAGGGGG
rnacentral:rRNA from 1 species